AAAGCGUGCGCAGGCGGUUAUGUAAGACAGAUGUGAAAUCCCCGGGCUCAACCUGGGAACUGCAUUUGUGACUGCAUAGCUAGAGUACGGUAGAGGGGGAUGGAAUUCCGCGUGUAGCAGUGAAAUGCGUAGAUAUGCGGAGGAACACCGAUGGCGAAGGCAAUCCCCUGGACCUGUACUGACGCUCAUGCACGAAAGCGUGGGGAGCAAACAGGAUUAGAUACCCCUGU
rnacentral:rRNA from 1 species